CGGGAAGUAGCGCAGCCUGGUAGCGCACUUGCUUCGGGAGCAAGGGGUCGGCGGUUCAAAUCCGCUCUUCCCGACCA
rnacentral:tRNA from 1 species